rnacentral:rRNA from 1 species
AUACAGAGGGUGCGAGCGUUAAUCGGAAUUACUGGGCGUAAAGCGCGCGUAGGCGGCUACUUAAGUCAGAUGUGAAAUCCCCGGGCUCAACCUGGGAACUGCAUCUGAUACUGGGUAGCUCGAGUUUUGGAGAGGGAAGUAGAAUUUCAGGUGUAGCGGUGAAAUGCAUAGAGAUCUGAAGGAAUACCAGUGGCGAAGGCGACUUCCUGGCCAAAAACUGACGCUGAGGUGCGAAAGCGUGGGUAGCAAACGGGAUUAGAUACCCUAGUAGUCC